rnacentral:rRNA from 1 species
UACGGAGGGUGCGAGCGUUGUCCGGAAUCAUUGGGCGUAAAGGGCGCGUAGGUGGCGCGGCAAGCGUGCGGUGAAAGCUCGGGGCUCAACCCCGAGUCGGCCGUGCGAACUGCUGGGCUUGAGCACUGUAGAGGCAGGCGGAAUUCCGGGUGUAGCGGUGGAAUGCGUAGAGAUCCGGAAGAACACCGGUGGCGAAGGCGGUUAGCUGGGCAGUUGCUGGACACUGAGGCGCGACAGCGUGGGGAGCAAACAGG